rnacentral:tRNA from 1 species
CAGGGAAUAGUUUAAAUAGAAUUUCAGCUUUGGGUGUUGAAGGUGAGGCUUAUGCUUCUUCCUUGAA